CACCAGCCCCUCGAGUGGUGGGGAUGAUUAUUUGGCCUAAAGCGUCCGUAGCCGGCCGGGUAAGUUUCCCGUUAAAUCCAAUGUCUCAAGCAUUGGACUGCGGGAAAUACUGCCUGGCUAGAGAGUGGGAGAGGUGUACGGUAUUCUGGGGGUAGGGGCGAAAUCCUUUGAUCCCCGGAGGACCACCAGUGGCGAAGGCUGUACACUAGAACACGUCUGACGGUCAGGGACGAAAGCUGGGGUAGCGAACCGGAUUAGAUACCCGGGUAGUCCCAGCUGUAAACGUUGCAUGCUAGGUGUUGGGUCGGCCACGAGCCACCCCAGUGCCGCAGGGAAGCCGUUAAGCAUGCCGCCUGGGAAGUACGAUCGCAAGAUUGAAACUUAAAGGAAUUGGCGGGGGAGCACCACCAGGCGUGAAGCCUGCGGUUU
rnacentral:rRNA from 1 species